AUUGAACGCUGGCGGCAGGCCUAACACAUGCAAGUCGAGCGAGCGGCGGACGGGUGAGUAUUGUAUGGGGACUGCCCGAUAGCGGGGGAUAACUACUGGAAACGGUAGCUAAUACCGCAUACUCUCGGAUAACCCAUAUGGGAUUAGCUAGUAGGUGAGGUAAUGGCUCACCUAGGCGCCGAUCCCUAGCGGGUCUGAGAGGAUGAUCAGCCACACUGGAAUGGGGACAGGGCCAAGAUUCUAAGGGAGGCAGAAGGGGGAAAUAUUGGACAAGGGGCGAAAGCCUGAUGCAGACAUGCGGCGGGGAUGAGGCAGGCUCUAGGGUUGAAAAGUACUUUCAGUCGGGAGGCGUUACCGAAAGAAAAAGCAACGGCUAACUCCGUGCCAGCAGCCGCGGUAAUAC
rnacentral:rRNA from 1 species